rnacentral:lncRNA from 1 species
AAUGUGUCAAUAAUUCAGCUGGAAAAAUGUCAUUAGCUAAAUGGUUAAGCAAUAAACUCAAUUACAGUUCUGUAUCACAUUUCUCCAGCUCCAACGAUAUACAUGACGCUUUAAAGGCAGUGCUUGUCGCUGAGAAAACAAUAAAACCUGAGAAAAUAUGACUCAAGAACCAUACAAGAGCUUCAUUGUUUCCAAUUAACUGAACCAUAAGUCUUAAAAAAGAUGAUCUUCUAGUGGGAGCAUAGGGAGAGAGAGCACAUAAUAGUUUCACCUUCCCACGCAUCUAAAAGCAAAGGCCAAGACGUCAAAACCAGAUGACUAGAUAUGCAAUACAUUUGCAAAAUAUAUAACAGAUUUGAAUACUUAUCUGAUGAGCUGCUAUUCGAGAGUAUAUGUCUGCAAUAUCAUACAGUUGUUAUUUAGUGGGAAUGAGCUUGCCUGCUGUUAUAUCUUAUCACCACAACUCCACAAGAGCGAGGUAAAAAAAACUCGAUGUAGUUGUUGGAAGAAUCUGUGGAAAUGAGAUAAUAUUGACCAAGAUUUAGAUCUUUCAUAAGAAGCUAAAGUAUUAACAUGGCUGAGCAACCAAUUCUCCAUUGCGUCAAUCCAAAGAAUGCAUCAAAAUGGUUUGAAAAACUGGUCACUAGAUAGGUACACUUAAGGUUCUGAUAUCAUCAACUGAAGGAAGAUUUAUACAAAGGACAAUCUUGCAAAGGAACACAGUAGUUGUAUACUGCUUCUUCUCUUUCACAACUCACAAGUAAUCAUUGAAGCUAAUUUAACAGAAC